rnacentral:rRNA from 1 species
UCAUAUGCUUGUCUCAAAGAUUAAGCCAUGCAUGUCUAAGUACAAGCUGUCUCGUACAGUGAAACUGCGAAAGGCUCAUUAAAUCAGUUAUGGUUCCUUAGAUCGUACCCACGUUACAUGGAUAACUGUGGUAAUUCUAGAGCUAAUACAUGCCGACAGAGCUCCGACCAGCGCGUCGUCGUUCGGCGGUUCGCCCGUCGUCGUCGGCCGUUCGGAAGGAGCGCUUUUAUUAGAUCAAAACCGGCCAAGCGCCCGGAUUGCGUUUCGCGCGCACAUUCGGACGUAAGUGGCCCGCGCAAAGACUUGACGACUCUGAAUAACUUCGAGCUGAUCGCACGGUCCUAGUACCGGCGACGUAUCUUUCAAAUGUCUGCCUUAUCAACUGUCGACGGUAGGUUCUACGCCUACCGUGGUGGUAACGGGUAACGGGGAAUCAGGGUUCGAUUCCGGAGAGGGAGCCUGAGAAACGGCUACCACAUCCAAGGAAGGCAGCAGGCACGAAAAUUAUCCAUUCAGGACUCCUGGAGAUAGUGACGAAAAAUAACGAUACGGGACUCAUCCGAGGCCCCGUAAUCGGAAUGAGUACACUUUAAAACCUUGGUCACACGAGGAUCAAUUCGCGGCCGCU